GAAAAAGCCUGCUAAGGUGACGUGGAGAGCGAGAGAGCUAAUGCUAAUGCUAAUGCUAAUGCUAACAACAUUUAGCUACACGAGCUAGCGCAUCGCGCUGAACACGGUUUGUCGAGCAGGAGCAUCGCUGGAUAACUGCACGCUCAGGAUGGUCGUGUGUUCAUCUGGACAUGUGAUGAUCCUUCUUUAAACACCUGGACUGCCAAACUCCUGCACAAAUUCAACGAUGUUGUCUGGCAUGUCAGCAGGUCCAUCACAGGCAACAUCCUGGCUGUGUCUGGUGGAGACAACAAGGUGACCCUGUGGAAGGAGUCUGGGCAACAUUGGGCUUGCAUUAGCGACGUGAUCCUCGUGGAGAUGACUGCACGCAGACAUACAAGCUUAUUAACCCUCAAAGACUUUCUUAAAGCAAUGACCUGUCAUUCCCCUGAACAACCAGUAUAUCCA